GAGGGGGAAAGGACGAGACCGAGCCCGAUUGCGAACGCGCGCGGGGCGCUGCGGCUCUGCCUGGCUCGUGCGGGGCCGUUGGAGCCUCUCCCGGAGCUGGAGAAGAGUUUUGUGCCGCUCAAGCUCUGGGCAGGUGCAGAUCGGGGGCAAGUCCCGCAUGCGCAGAGGCAGCGCUCACCCGGUGCUGCUCCCUGGCGCUGCGGGGCCGGGCUGAGCAGGAGGGUCUGUGCCGGGGAGACCCAUUAACCCCUCCGUGCCCGGCCCGCGCCCUGCUCCCGCUGGGGCCGCCCCGGGCUCUGCCCGCCCCGCUGCGGAGCUGCAGCCUCCAGGUGUCUGACUGAGAUCAGGGCUCUUAUCGUACUGAGUGUGGAACAGGCCUUGCCUGAGAUCUGGUCCCCCAGUGUGCUGGGCACUGCACAAACCCUGACCAAGUUUGGGGCACUAGUUGUGCCAGGAACUGCACAGACCGCUACAAAGAGCAGGGGCUACAGUGACCUUGACUGACCUCUGGGCUCCUGUUGUGCCAGGCCCUGCAAAGAAACCAAGUGAAAUCAGGCUCCCAUUGUGCCAAGUACUGCAGAGACCACAAACAAAAUCAGGGACCUUGUUGUUCCUGGAGCUGCAGAGACCCCAAUUGAGAUCUGGGCCCCGUUCUGCCAAACUCUGCAGAGACCCCAACAGAGGUCAGACCCCACUGUUGUGACAGGUGCUGUGGAGACUCCAACUGAGAUCGGCGUCCCUGUUGUGCCAGGCUACAGAUUAACAUCCACGUUUUGCUCCACAUCAUCCCAUCCUCCGAGGGGGAAGGAAAUGGCUGCAAUGGAGCUGGCUCAGGGGCCGGUGACUUUUGAGGAGGUGGCUGUGUAUUUUACCAAGGAAGAA